rnacentral:rRNA from 1 species
AUGAACGCUGGCGGCGUGCCUAAUACAUGCAAGUCGAACGCGAGCAGCAAUGCUCGAGUGGCGAACGGGUGAGUAAUACAUAAGUAACCUGCCCUAGACAGGGGGAUAACUGCUGGAAACGGCAGCUAAGACCGCAUAGGUAUGGACACUGCAUGGUGACCAUAUUAAAAGUGCCAAGGCACUGGUAGAGGAUGGACUUAUGGCGCAUUAGCUGGUUGGUGAGGUAACGGCUCACCAAGGCGACGAUGCGUAGCCGACCUGAGAGGGUGACCGGCCACACUGGGACUGAGACACGGCCCAGACUCCUACGGGAGCAGCAGUAGGGAAUUUUCGGCAAUGGGGGGAACCCUGACCGAGCAACGCCGCGUGAAGGAAGAAGGAAUUCGUUCUGUAAACUUCUGUUAUAAAGGAAGAACGGCGGAUAUAGGGAAUGAUAUCCGAGUGACGGUACUUUAUGAGAAAGCCACGGCUAACUACGUGCCAGCAGCCGCGGUAAUACGUAGGUGGCGAGCGUUAUCCGGAAUUAUUGGGCGUAAAGAGGGAGCAGGCGGCGGCAGAGGUCUGUGGUGAAAGACUGAAGCUUAACUUCAGUAAGCCAUAGAAACCGGGCUGCUAGAGUGCAGGAGAGGAUCGUGGAAUUCCAUGUGUAGCGGUGAAAUGCGUAGAUAUAUGGAGGAACACCAGUGGCGAAGGCGACGGUCUGGCCUGUAACUGACGCUCAUUCCCGAAAGCGUGGGGAGCAAAUAGGAUUAGAUACCCUAGUAGUCCACGCCGUAAACGAUGAGUACUAAGUGUUGGGAGUCAAAUUUCAGUGCUGCAGUUAACGCAAUAAGUACUCCGCCUGAGUAGUACGUUCGCAAGAAUGAAACUCAAAGGAAUUGACGGGGGCCCGCACAAGCGGUGGAGCAUGUGGUUUAAUUCGAAGCAACGCGAAGAACCUUACCAGGUCUUGACAUCCGGAUAAAGACCUCAGAGAUGAGGGGAUAGAUAUAUCCGAGACAGGUGGUGCAUGGUUGUCGUCAGCUCGUGUCGUGAGAUGUUGGGUUAAGUCCCGCAACGAGCGCAACCCUUGUCGCUAGUUACCAUCAUUAAGUUGGGGACUCUAGCGAGACUGCCAGUGACAAGCUGGAGGAAGGCGGGGAUGACGUCAAAUCAUCAUGCCCCUUAUGACCUGGGCUACACACGUGCUACAAUGGAUGGAGCAGAGGGAAGCGAAGCCGCGAGGUGAAGCAAAACCCAUAAAACCAUUCUCAGUUCGGAUUGUAGUCUGCAACUCGACUACAUGAAGUUGGAAUCGCUAGUAAUCGCGAAUCAGCAUGUCGCGGUGAAUACGUUCUCGGGCCUUGUACACACCGCCCGUCACACCAUGAGAGUUGAUAACACCCGAAGCCGGUGGCCUAACCGCAAGGAGGGAGCUGUCUAAGGUGGGAUUGAUGAUUGGGGUG